UUUGUUUUGUCUGAUUUUAUGACACCUUAUAGGCCCUCAACUGUCCACAUUGGGGUUUAGGAAAUUAGAACUGCUUAUGCUGCUUAUCUACUAGUCUUAGGAUAAGUUAGAAAUGUUAUAAAUGUAAAUUUUUUGUUGUUUUUAUCUGGUACAGCUCAUAGGAACUCCAAUCUUCCCAACUGUGAGAGGGCCUUGCUCCAGUGACUGUCAGUGAAAUGGAGUGAGGCAUACCAGGAUAUGUCUGGUUUUACUCUUGGGAAGGAGGUUGAACAGUGCAAUAUUUCUUCUAUAGGAUUGCAGUGACCAGACAUGCUACUGUAACUCUCAUGGUCAUGUGCUGGAAUUAGCAGAUAUUCAACAAUUUGGCCAUCUCGCUGACCUAUUGAUAUCAGAAGACUGCAACAGCUCUGCAAAGCAAGUUGCAAAACAGAAUCCAUGGAACUGGCAGUGACUGGAAACCAAUUGGAAGACUUUGGUCUGUGAUGUAGAGGAGUGGGCAGAGGUAGCAGAAGCAAAGACAACAAACAACAGAAGUGAUAUGGAUGUCUUCGUCAUAUGGCAUGACUCUGCUGACCCAGCAACAAAGAGGAGGGUGUUCAACAUCAUCCUGCUAGUCAGGAUUCUUCAGGAGAAGCAGUGGAUUCUUGUGGCAGAGAUGGCCAACCACUAUAAAUACCUUUCAACUCAUCCUGGUUCCUUCAAAGAACUUUCCUGCUUGUUUGCUACUGAAAUGUA